rnacentral:rRNA from 1 species
UACGUAGGGGGGCUAGCGUUGUCCGGAUUUAUUGGGCGUAAAGAGCGUGUAGGCGGCCAGGUAGGUCUGCUGUGAAAACUCGAGGCUUAACCUCGAGCUGUCGGCGGAAACCAUCUGGCUAGAGUCCGGAAGAGGAGAAUGGAAUUCCCGGUGUAGCGGUGAAAAUGCGCAGAUAUCGGGAAGAACACCCGUGGCGAAGGCGGGUUCUCUGGGACGGUACUGGACGCUGGAGACGCGAAAGCGUGGGGAGCGAACAGGG